GAUGAACGCUGGCGGCGUGCCUAAUACAUGCAAGUCGAGCGAACAGACGAGGAGCUUGCUCCUCUGACGUUAGCGGCGGACGGGUGAGUAACACGUGGAUAACCUACCUAUAAGACUGGGAUAACUUCGGGAAACCGGAGCUAAUACCGGAUAACAUGUUGAACCGCAUGGUUCAACAGUGAAAGACGGUCUUGCUGUCACUUAUAGAUGGAUCCGCGCCGCAUUAGCUAGUUGGUAAGGUAACGGCUUACCAAGGCAACGAUGCGUAGCCGACCUGAGAGGGUGAUCGGCCACACUGAAACUGAGACACGGUCCAGACUCCUACGGGAGGCAGCAGUAGGGAAUCUUCCGCAAUGGGCGAAAGCCUGACGGAGCAACGCCGCGUGAGUGAAGAAGGUCUUCGGAUCGUAAAACUCUGUUAUUAGGGAAGAACAAAUGUGUAAGUAACUAUGCACGUCUUGACGGUACCUAAUCAGAAAGCCACGGCUAACUACGUG
rnacentral:rRNA from 1 species